AGUGAACGCUGGCGGUAGGCCUAACACAUGCAAGUCGAACGGCAGCACAGUAAGAGCUUGCUCUUACGGGUGGCGAGUGGCGGAUGGGUGAGGCAUACAUCGGAAUCUAAUUUUUCGUGGGGGAUAACGUAGGGAAACUUAUGAUAAUACCUCAUACGACCUACGGGUGAAAGCAGGGGAUCUUCGGACCUUUCGCGAUUGAAUGAGCCGAUGUCGGAUUAGCUAGUUGGGUGGGUAAAGGCCCACCAAGGCGACGAUGCGUAGCUGGUCUGAGAGGAUGAUCGGCCACACUGGAACUGAGACACGGUCCAGACUCCUACGGGAGGCAGCAGUAGGGAAUCUUGGACAAUGGGCGCAAGCCUGAUCCAGCAAUACCGCGUGAGUGAAGAAGGCCUUCGGGUUGUAAAGCCCUUUUGUUGGGAAAGAAAAGCAGCAGAUUAAUACCCCGCUGUUCUGACGGUACCCAAAGAAUAAGCACCGGCUAACUUCGUG
rnacentral:rRNA from 1 species